GAGUGAACCGGGAUGAGCUCAAAUUUAAAAUCUUGGCGUCUUUCAGGCGUCCGAGUUGUAAUCUAUAGAGGCGUUUUCCGCGCCGGACCGCGUCCAAGUCUCUUGGAAUAGAGUAUCAAAGAGGGUGACAAUCCCGUACUUGACGCGACAACCGGUGCUCUGUGAUACGUUCUCAAUGAGUCGAGUUGUUUGGGAAUGCAGCUCUAAAUGGGUGGUAAAUUCCAUCUAAGGCUAAAUAUUGGCGAGAGACCGAUAGCGAACAAGUACCGUGAGGGAAAGAUGAAAAGCACUUUGGAAAGAGAGUUAAACAGCACGUGAAAUUGUUAAAAGGGAAACGAUUGAAGUCAGUCGUGUGAAAGGUAUUCAGCCGUCUCUGGCGGUGUAUUUGCCUUUCACGGGUCAACAUCAGUUUGAUCCGGUAGAAAAAGGCGGGAGGAAGGUGGCACCCUCGGGUGUGUUAUAGCCUCCUGUCAUAUGUGCCGGACCAGACUGAGGAACGCAGCUUGCCGCAAGGCCGGGGUUCGCCCACGUACAAGCUUAGGAUGUUGACAUAAUGGCUUAACAGCUG
rnacentral:rRNA from 1 species